GGGCCCGCACAAGCGGUGGAGCAUGUGGUUUAAUUCGAUGAUACGCGAGGAACCUUACCAGGGCUUAAAUGUAGUGGGACAGGUCUAGAGAUAGACCCUUCUUCGGACUCAUUACAAGGUGCUGCAUGGUUGUCGUCAGCUCGUGCCGUGAGGUGUCAGGUUAAGUCCUAUAACGAGCGCAACCCCUAUCGUUAGUUGCCAGCGGGUAAUGCCGGGAACUCUAGCGAAACUGCCGGUGCAAACCGUGAGGAAGGUGGGGAUGACGUCAAAUCAUCACGGCCCUUACGUCCUGGCUACACACGUGCUACAAUGGUACUUACAAUGGGAAGCAAAGAGGCGACUCUAAGCUAA
rnacentral:rRNA from 1 species